GACGAACGCUGGCGGCGUGCUUAACACAUGCAAGUCGAACGGAAAGGCCCUGCUUUUGUGGGGUGCUCGAGUGGCGAACGGGUGCGUAACACGUGAGUAACCUGCCCUUGACUUUGGGAUAACUUCAGGAAACUGGGGCUACUACCGGAUAGCAGCUCCUGCUGCAUGGUGGGGGUUGGAAAGUUUAGGCGGUCGGGGAUGGACGCGCGGCUUAUCAGCUUGUUGGUGGGGUAGUGGCUUACCAAGGCUGUGACUGGUAGCCGGCCGGGGAGGGGGACCGGCCACCUGGCGACUGAGAGAGGGACCAGACGCGUACGGGGGGCAACAGGCGGGAAUAUGGCACAAUGGGCCGAAGCCGGAGGAAGCAACGCCGCGGGCGUGAUGACGGCCUGUGGGUUGUGAACCGCUUUAGCCUGUGACGAAGCGGUAGUGACGGUAAUGGGUAAAGAAGCACCGGCUAACUACGUG
rnacentral:rRNA from 1 species